rnacentral:lncRNA from 8 species
CUCAGAUUAGUCUUUUUUUUCCUGAAGUUAAAUUAACUACUAAACUUCAUUUUAAGCCCACAUUUUAUCAAAAUUAUUGAUAAAAGAUCUUUCAGGCAAGGAGUAAUUUUAAAAGUGGAGUAACAGUCCACUAUAAUUGAAGAUAUGUUUGUGGUAGACUAAAAUUGAACAUUCAUUAUUAACCGUCUGUGGGUUGUGUUGGCCUAUGUAGUGCCAAUUAAAUCAGAUUAUUUUGUAGCCUAUGUUAAAUAAAAUACUUUGACUUAUGCAACUCCUUCAUUCAAAAUACUAUAUUUUCCACCGUCUUGUUUGAUCAAUAUAACCUAAUUUACAAACUCCAUAUUUUUCAAUGCCGACGCAUUUUUUGCACAUUAUUAGGGUACAUCUCAUUAUGAACUUUAAAUAAAAUAUUUUACACAACUAUUUUGUCGGACUGUAAUGCUGGAUAUUUUAGAUAUGUGACAAACGUUAAUAUACUUUAUGCCCAAACCCUGGUUAACAACACCUGAGCUCAGGUAAUUACUAAUCAAUAACUCAGGUGCACACAUAGUUAACCUGUCACGAUAGCGCAACACGCUUCAGAUCACAGGUGAAAAACAAAAGACGUGCGCUCAGGAGUGCCUCUGUUUCUCCGCUGAACAAUCCGUACGUUUCCACGUCGAGCACCUCGACCAGCGGGAGAGUUAAGCUCUUUCCAGUCAUCGAACUUCUUAUACAGACACAGACGGGAAGAAACUCGGUCUAAAGUCGUCUAGGCUGACAGUGACACAUUCUCUCUCACGCUGUCUUGUUCCACACCAGGGGGGCUGGGGUGUCAACAUAGCGACAGAGAGAUUUCCCACAAGACUACUGCUCGUUGGACUGACUGAGUCUGAGUCGUUGGGUGGCCAAGGUGGAGAGGGAGAAGCGACUGAGACCCUUUGAGAAUUUCCAACAGCACCUCAUAUUUACGUUGUCUUCUACUCCGACCCGACCAGCGGUCUUCAGCAUCGCUCUCCCUGCGACUACAGUUCACUUUAUCCCGCACGCCUCCUGUCCUUGAGCGAAGAAAGCAGAAGCUCCCCAACCGACUGCCGAGGUGGAGGAGACCCGGUCCUCGGAAAGGUCCGUGCAUCUGUCUGAGGACAGAGGGAGUGCGAGUCUGUAAAUGUA